UGAAGCCCAUCAUGCAAAGCUGGACAUGACUAAGGGACACAGAAAGUGGAAACAAAUGGUACGGACAUGAAAGGUCUGCUCAAGUAAAAGGUCUAAAAAAAGUUCAAGAGGAUUCUCAGGAAAGUGGAAGAAAUAAAGGGGGACUGCAAACACUUGAUCUGCUAAGCCAAAAUUAACAGCUGGAAACAUACAGAAUGACACUGAAAAGCCGCAGGCAGGUAAGCAGACUCCUUUGUACCACUCUCUUCCUCAACCAAGUCUGGUGCAGAAGAUCAUGAAGUACUUAAAGAGCAUCAGCAUGUGCAUCAUAUUGAGAAAAAGGAAAGAAGCAAAGACCCUGAAAAAUUAUAGCUUUUCUCACCUUACUACCUCCCUACUGAGUAAUGACAGAAGUACAGAGCAUCUCCUGAGCUCACUCAGGCCUGCCCAGUCCCCAUUAUAAUAAUAACAGUAAUAAACGCUAUUAUUAUUGCUACUUUUGCUGUUUUGGGUAUUUUGUGUUCUAAGCCCUGUUUCACAUUCUUUGUCUUUUGAUGGAUGAGAUGGUCAGGAUAAAACUAUGUGAAUCAAGAUUCCGUCCACAUUCCACCCACAAGGUGCCAGAAUUUUCCGACAGGUUUCUUGAUGGUUUCGGGCAAUCAGAUUUGGCAACAUGGGAAUGAGUGGAAACGAGACAAAAGAAGUCCCAAAGAAGAGCAGAGAAAAAACUGCAAUAGGAACAGGGUGAGGAAAGAAAAAAAGGCAAAAAAGAGCGGCAAGGACUUCUAUUCUUCACUCUGAUGACAGAGAACUUCUAAAUUGCAAAACUCAUUAGGACUUGCUCCUAAGUAAAACCAUUCAAUGGACUCUCAGGGACCUCAAUUCAGAGACCUAAAGUCUUAAGAAAAACCAAAAAAAAGGGUUCAUAGCAAAUUAAGAGCCUGGAGUAUUGCUUCCCUACAUGCCAAUCUAGAAGGAACACUAAAAGAUCAAGGAAAAUGUGAUACAAUGGAGAAAAUCGCAUUUACCAGAACUCCUCUCAGAGCAAGUCCUGCAGAUUGUUGGAAAGAAUACUUUGAAAAAAGUCUUGGGGUACCAAUGGUGAGAAGGGAGACCUCUCAAGGGACACUUUGAAGGAAGUACAGAUAGCCCUCUAUGGUCAACCCUGCUAACUUAUCCUAAUUCAUUCACCCAUUUUUGCUUCCUCUGUGCCCAGAAGUGUCUGGCACAUCAUAAAUACCCAGUAAAUAUUUAUUGAAAGAAUGAACUGGUUAAAAAUAGUUCCUUGCUACUCUUCCCUUGGACUUUUAAUCUUAUCAAAGGACUCUUUCUAGUAAAAAUGCUCAUUUAGUUACAAAGAGGGAAAGGCCAAAACAAGCAGAUAGCGUAACGGCAAGGCCCAAGUUGCUCAAGUGUGGAUCCAUGUUGAGGUAACGUUAACUCAGUUCUUUGCUCCCAGGAUAAAUCUAUACUGUAUCAUUCACAGUAUAUACAAAUAUUGAAUCAUUAUGUUGUACACCGGAAACAAAUACGAUGUCACAGUCAAUUAUAUCUCAAUUUUAAAAGAUCUCUACUGUAUUGUAAUUAAACAGAGGAAGUUUCUGAGUUUAACAGAAUCUAAAAUGCCUGCCUCCUUUUCCAAAAAGUUGCCUUCAUAUGAAAAGGCAUGUGGAGUUCACUUGUUUAAUUGCAAGUGGUUUGGUAUUGUUUAUUUAUUUCCUUAAUAGAAAAGAAGGAUGCAAUUAUACCUGGGAGGCUUCCUUUUUAAACCCCAUAUUUAGAAAGUGUUGUAUUUUCUUUAUGUGGUUCACCCUUACUCUCAGAGUCAUGUAUUCAUUCAUUCAUUCAUUCAUUUUAUUCCUGUAGAAUGGGGCAUGAGAAUAUCAUGGUAUUUUUAUAAAAUAGAGGUCUGAUUCAAUAAAGACCUUACAAAAUACUAAAUAUAAGAGAUACUGUGAAGGCAAGUUUGCUUCCAGAAACCAGUUUUCAUGCUGCAAGAAAAGAUGCAAAGCAAGCAAUCCACUUCAAUCUAAAAAUAGAUGAAGAUUCACCUCCAGCCCCAGCAAAUUCCAUUUCCACUCUCCACUAGUUAGGACGUCAGCAGUACCUGGUUCUUCCAGGGCUGUGCAGUUGCAGCACCCCUUCAGCCCUACAAUAUUAGAAUUCUACAAUAUUAGAAUGAACCAACCAACCAACUUAAAGGGAAGGAAGAGAGAUAAUCUACAUUUAAUGUCCGUUUUUCUGGACAACGCUAUCAAAUUAAUCCCUAUUGUAUGCUUUGCUUGGAUGCCACCAUUAUGAAAAAGCAAUAUGGAGACUGUCCGGAAAAAAGCUGAUUAGUGGCCACAGUUAAAUAAAUAUUCUAAAAUUGAAUGAUCACCAGGUGAAGGCUGGAUGCAUUGCUAGCAGAUCCUCUGUCCCCUGGAAAAGCAGCAGAAGAGGAUAUGAGCAAGGCUAUUAAUCAUCAGAACAAUGAAAGAAGCAAUAAUCAUUUUCCACUUCAGUAUUUGUUAUCCAGUUCACUCAACCUAUUAUUCAUGUUUGGUCUACAUCAGUUUUGAAAGAGUGCUUCCUCUCUGGAAACAGUAUAACAGAGAACACAUUAGGGAAAAAAGACAUGUCUGUCCAUUCAGCUCACAAUCGCCUGCUCCUACCCUCCACUCUCUGCCACCAUCCCAGCAUGUACAGGGAAAUGGUUAUUUACAGUAAAAUAAGAGGCUUCAGCAGUCCAUAAGUGUCUAUGUCUCUGACUGGACAAGGAUAUUCUACUGUAACUUAAAUACUUUUAUGUAAUUAUAAUUUAAAACACCUUUUAUGUCAAGAUCUUCAAGCUCUUCCAUGAUUACUUAUGAAUUGAGCCCAUUCAUUUUGUAUUUCACAACUUCCUAUGAGAGUUUAGAAUAGCCAUUUGUUAAAUAUCUCUGGCAACAUGAAAAGAUACAAAGAUAUAUUACAGAACAAAGAAAGGCAGCCAGGGAUAAUAUAAAUAGCACUGGAUUGUGAAUCAGGAGUUCUAGGGUCAAAUUCUCAUUUUGUAAUCUUUUUGAACAUAUUGUGUAUGUUCAGUGAGAGCAUUAUGGAGCCAAAUUCUUAUUUUAUUAAAAAACUAAUUCACCAUAUUAUAUAACAGUAAUCUAGUCUCUUUUCUUAUCUGAAAAUGAGGAUAAUUCAAUAACAUACAGGUUCAUUGUGAAAAAUUAAAGGGGAUAACAACUGUGAAAGGCAUAUUCCAGUAUAAGGUACUAUUGUUAAUAAUAUCAGUAGAUAAUUGAAUCAACAGAUGGUCCAAACUUCUUAUCUGAACCAAUGUUCUCUCACCAAACCUUCAUCCAAGACACUGACAAGUUGGAAUUUUUCACUAUCUGAAUUUAAUACACUUUCCUUCCUUCAUCUUCUAGUUGAUGAAGAUGUUAACAGCUGGGAAAUGCAGAAUAUUGGACAGACCAAGACAAGAGAGAAAAUGAUAUGGCCAGAGAUUAGCACUCCCAGACCACCUAAGAGUUGACUUUCAUAGGCAUAAAUGACUAGGCACAAAUUAAAUACUAAGUAAUUAAAAGUCAUACUACAAAUGUACAUACAAUGAGAAUAUAUCAACUGAGAAAUAACUUACAGUAAGAAUUUCUAAAUGUUGACCCAUAAAUUGUUUUUGUUAUUUUUUCUUUUAUAAUUGAAAUAUAGUUGAUAUACAAUAUACAUGUAUAUAUAUACAGUGAUUCAACAAAUACAUAUAUAUACACAUGUAUUUCUACACAAAUAUAUAUAUAUUUGGGUUUUAUUCAACCAUCAAAUGAUUAAAUUCAUACAUAGACAUUAGUGGUCCUGAGUCUGAAAAUGUCUGGAGGAUAAUCAAGAGCAGUGGUGUCCAGUAGAACUUUCUGCAAUGAUGGAAAUGUCCAAUAGAGUACCUACUCUAUUGGUACAAUAAUUUGCACUGUCCAAUAGAGUACCUACUGGCCACACAUAGCUAUUGAGCACUUGAAAUCUGCCUGUGCAAAUGAGGAACUGAAUUUGUAAUUUUAUUUAAUUAAAUAUUUCAUUUUACUAUAAAAAUAUACUCAAGAUACAACCCCACGGUUGGUUUACCAGAAGCCAUUCAGCCAUGCUUCAGGAAGAGACCCCUGUAUACUGGCAGAAUUCAAGAAGAGACAGUAAUCAUUCUUUGGACAUGCUUUAGAGAGAUUCCUCCAAAUUCAGAUUCUGCAAUAUUGGAAUGAACCAACCAACCAACUUAAAGGGAAGGAAGAGAGAUAAUCUACAUUUAAUCAAUUGGGCCAGUAAGCAGACUCAUGAAUUAUCAUAGUAACUUUGUUUGCCAGAUCUGUAAAAGUGCUGACAUAUUCAGAUGUUUCUGCUUCUUAACAGAAGCCAAUUUUUUUUUAAGGUAAAAGUGUGGCCAUUGCAUUAGGGAGGAUGAACCAGUCUUUGUCUCAAGAAUGAAUCCUGAUUGGUCUAAACCAAUUACGGCAAUUCAUGAUUUAGACACAAACCUAUGAUUUAAUUCUAGUCAAGGAUACAUGAAGAGUGGCCAGUUGGGGAAGGAAGGGUAAGGGUGCGGUUGCUUUUGAAAAUGAUUUCCUCAAUCCAAAGAAAGACCCAGAAAAGAUGCCUCAUCUUCCUCUGGAACUUGUCUUCUAUUUUAAUGUGAUGCCUGGAACUUCAGCAACCAUAUUAGAAAUAUGAGGAAAGCUCCUUUAAGGACUAACCCAUCCUGCUGAGGGUGACAGAGUAGAAAGAUGGAAAGAACCUGAGCUUUUGAUGACAAUAUUGAGCCUAUGAAGCAACCAAUCCUGGAGAAAUCCUACUACUAUGCUUCCAUUUACAAAAAAUAACAUAAAUAUUCUUCUGAUUAUUUUGGUAGCUGUGGGUUGGAUUUUCUGCUAAUUGCACCAAAAGCAUUUUGACGCAGCCACCAUACCAGGUACAUACUUAAUCAUUGCACAGCAUCCAAAGAAAAUUUCAUUAAUUGCAGUUUGCAAGGAGAAAUCUGAGGCUCAAGAGAGAUGAAGGGGCAAAGAUCACUUGACUAAUAAAUGGCAAUGUCAAGAUUGAAACUCAGGUGUGUCUGAUGCCAAAACCCAUACACCUCUCUUCUAGCACCUGCCUCUCAGGAUUGUAGGCCCCAGUGAGCAUGUGAACUAGCAGGCAAGUCUUAAGGUGGCCUGGCUCCUGCACUCAGCUGCAUUACUUUUCACAUCAUUUGUAGAUUCUCACAUGUAGAAUGAAGCAAUCCGCUUAGAUGAUCUCACCCAACUAUGAUUAUAAAUGGAAAACAAUUAGAACUGUGAUUCAUUUCAAUUUUUAUUCAAAAGCAUUCCCUUCACACUUUUCCUGACAGCUGAGAAAGCAGGCAUUGAAGCCAGAAACUCCACCUCCCAUCAGACAUUCUGCAGGUUCCUCCCUGACAUAUGUGAUGCUCUGAGCUGGCUAUGCAGGGUGUAAUUGUGGCUGUUACAGUGGCUAAAUGCACCCUCCUGCCCUCUUCCCUUACCAACCAACAAAGCACCUCAGCACCCUGACUGCCACAAAGACAGAGUGAUUUUGAAAAGCCUAGGUGCCUCACCACUUCACCCAAGAGUGAUGAUGUGCAUUCAUGAAUAAUGGAGGCAGUGAGUGUAUUUUUCAGUUAUUAGCCAACUCCAAGGUGUGCUACUUCACAGAAUGAUUAUAUGCUAAUAGGUUCAUUUGCUUUCUUUGUUUUGAUUCCUCAGGAUGGACUCUUUCUCUUAUCUAUGGAAUAAAAAUUUGCAAGGCUCUUCAUUUAGUUGUCAGGGAGAUAGAUUUUAAGGCUAUGAUUUAUGUCUGACAUUGAGGUUCAAAUCUAUUUAGGGACUUUGAAAGCAUUUAAGUGGGGAAGCAUAAAGAAGAGGGUACUCCAAAUAGUAUUAUGCAGAUGUUUUCCUGGGAAGUGGAGCUUAAUCCCAUCCCCCUUGAGUGCAGACUGGCUUAAUGACUAUCUUGCCUGAGGGUUUCAGCCCCAGCCAAGUUCACUAUGGAUUCAGUGAGACAGAGAAAUGACAACGGAAUGUUAUUGGGGCAAAAGGGUUUAUACCCAGAUUUAUUCUCAUGGUGGCAGGUUGAGCACUAGAAUCACUCUGCAUCCAGUAGUCCACAGGUACUUAAUCCACCUCCAUCUCUGCUUCUGCCCAGAGCACUGGGCAGAGCUCUUUAUAUAGUGACUCGGUCAGUAAUAGCUUAUUGCCUAUGGGUGUGGAAGCAUUAGCCUAGAGUAGGCCAGUUACAUUAUCAAGUAGUUUAGGGUCAGGUGAGGACCCUGGCCAUAGGAAC